AAACCGCAUGGUUUUGAUUUGAAAGGCGCUUUCGGGUGUCGCUGAUGGAUGGACCCGCGGUGCAUUAGCUAGUUGGUGAGGUAACGGCUCACCAAGGCCACGAUGCAUAGCCGACCUGAGAGGGUGAUCGGCCACAUUGGGACUGAGACACGGCCCAAACUCCUACGGGAGGCAGCAGUAGGGAAUCUUCGGCAAUGGACGAAAGUCUGACCGAGCAACGCCGCGUGAGUGAAGAAGGUUUUCGGAUCGUAAAACUCUGUUGUUAGAGAAGAACAAGGAUGAGAGUAACUGUUCAUCCCUUGACGGUAUCUAACCAGAAAGCCACGGCUAACUACGUGCCAGCAGCCGCGGUAAUACGUAGGUGGCAAGCGUUGUCCGGAUUUAUUGGGCGUAAAGCGAGCGCAGGCGGUUUCUUAAGUCUGAUGUGAAAGCCCCCGGCUCAACCGGGGAGGGUCAUUGGAAACUGGGAGACUUGAGUGCAGAAGAGGAGAGUGGAAUUCCAUGUGUAGCGGUGAAAUGCGUAGAUAUAUGGAGGAACACCAGUGGCGAAGGCGGCUCUCUGGUCUGUAACUGACGCUGAGGCUCGAAAGCGUGGGGAGCAAACAGGAUUAGAUACCCUGGUAGUCCACGCCGUAAACGAUGAGUGCUAAGUGUUGGAGGGUUUCCGCCCUUCAGUGCUGCAGCUAACGCAUUAAGCACUCCGCCUGGGGAGUACGACCGCAAGGUUGAAACUCAAAGGAAUUGACGGGGGCCCGCACAAGCGGUGGAGCAUGUGGUUUAAUUCGAAGCAACGCGAAGAACCUUACCAGGUCUUGACAUCCUUUGACCACUCUAGAGAUAGAGCUUCCCCUUCGGGGGCAAAGUGACAGGUGGUGCAUGGUUGUCGUCAGCUCGUGUCGUGAGAUGUUGGGUUAAGUCCCGCAACGAGCGCAACCCUUAUUGUUAGUUGCCAUCAUUCAGUUGGGCACUCUAGCAAGACUGCCGGUGACAAACCGGAGGAAGGUGGGGAUGACGUCAAAUCAUCAUGCCCCUUAUGACCUGGGCUACACACGUGCUACAAUGGGAAGUACAACGAGUUGCGAAGUCGCGAGGCUAAGCUAAUCUCUUAAAGCUUCUCUCAGUUCGGAUUGCAGGCUGCAACUCGCCUGCAUGAAGCCGGAAUCGCUAGUAAUCGCGGAUCAGCACGCCGCGGUGAAUACGUUCCCGGGCCU
rnacentral:rRNA from 1 species